rnacentral:rRNA from 1 species
AAUGAACGCUGGCGGCGUGCCUAAAACAUGCAAGUCGAGCGAGAAAGCUUCUUCGGAAGCGAGUAAAGCGGCGCACGGGUGAGUAACACGUAGGUAAUCUACCUGAAAGGCUGGGAUAACAUGUCGAAAGACGUGCUAAUACUGGAUAAGCUCACGGGGACUUCGGUUCCUGGGAGAAAAGUUGGCCUAUGCUUGCAAGCUACCACUUUCAGAUGAGCCUGCGCCCCAUUAGCUAGUUGGCGGGGUAACGGCCCACCAAGGCUACGAUGGGUAGCUGGGCUGAGAGGACGAUCAGCCACACUGGAACUGACACACGGUCCAGACUCCUACGGGAGGCAGCAGUUAGGAAUAUUGCGCAAUGGGCGAAAGCCUGACGCAGCGACGCCGCGUGUGCGAAGAAGGCCUUCGGGUUGUAAAGCACUGUCACUUGGAAAGAAUCUGGCAGGGGGGAAAGUUCCCUGCCACUGACGGUACCAGGAGAGGAAGCACCGGCUAACUCCGUGCCAGCCGCCGCGGUAA